rnacentral:lncRNA from 1 species
GUCACUCGGUGUUCUCACCGAAAGCACGUAAUCGCCGGCGUAACUCAUGUUGGCUGGGGGGCCUCCCGGCGCGCGGAGAGGCUGGGGUGCGCCCCC